rnacentral:rRNA from 1 species
AGUGGCGAACGGGUGAGUAACACGUGAGUAACCUGCCCCAGACUCUGGGAUAAGCCUUGGAAACGAGGUCUAAUACUGGAUAUGAGAUGCCCCUGCAUGGGGAGUGUCUGGAAAGAUUUAUCGGUCUGGGAUGGACUCGCGGCCUAUCAGCUUGUUGGUGGGGUAAUGGCCUACCAAGGCGACGACGGGUAGCCGGCCUGAGAGGGCGACCGGCCACACUGGGACUGAGACACGGCCCAGACUCCUACGGGAGGCAGCAGUGGGGAAUAUUGCACAAUGGGCGCAAGCCUGAUGCAGCGACGCCGCGUGAGGGAUGAAGGCCUUCGGGUUGUAAACCUCUUUCAGCAGGGAAGAAGCGCAAGUGACGGUACCUGCAGAAGAAGCGCCGGCUAACUACGUGCCAGCAGCCGCGGUAAUACGUAGGGCGCAAGCGUUGUCCGGAAUUAUUGGGCGUAAAGAGCUCGUAGGCGGUUUGUCGCGUCUGGUGUGAAAACUCAAGGCUCAACCUUGAGCUUGCAUCGGGUACGGGCAGACUAGAGUGCGGUAGGGGUGACUGGAAUUCCUGGUGUAGCGGUGGAAUGCGCAGAUAUCAGGAGGAACACCGAUGGCGAAGGCAGGUCACUGGGCCGCAACUGACGCUG